CCGCCGCCAUCCGGUCGUGAUCAUAACCGAGGCCUUGUCUGCGCAGCAGCACACCAGGCCCAAACCCACAGCCCUCAGCAGCCACCCCACGCGGGCCAUUCCUCCGCAGGCUUCCCAACCUCUACUUGAGCUGCAGAGAAAAAUGAAAGUCUCUAGGCUCUCCUGAAGCCAGCCCUGGGCUCCUCCCCAAGGAUGUUUUGGGAAGGAGAUAAGGAGGUGAAAUAGAAUCUGACAGAGAUAGAAGAUUAAAAAAAAAAAAAAAGACAAAUGGAAGAAAAAGCAGGAAGGAGCAAAGGAAAGAAAAGAAGGGAUAAAAGAGGAAGGCUGGAGGGCGAAAAGAAAGAAGAAAAGAGGGGCGAUUCCUAGCAGAGGCCAGGCUUACAGAGAGAAGGGUAAGUGACAAGGGCAGGAUCCCAGCCUCUGCCUGCCCUAUCCUUCCUAGUCUCCACUGGCAGAAGGUUCUUUCCUAAGCUCACACCCAGGACUGGGAUGUGUGUAUGUGUGUUCCAGCCUUGUAAGAGAAUGGCAGGAGGUCCCUGGGCAGGCGAAUGCCUUGAGUGGCGGAGGCUCAGGAUGGAAGCGCGCCCCUGACCUUGAAUGGCCCAAGGCCCAGAAUUCUUACCACGCCCCUGGCAUCCGCGAAGAAGCAGCUAACCUGACCUUACCUGCAGUGAGCCAGGUGGAGGUGUGUGGUGGAAGGGGAAAGCCGGCCUUCUGGCACAGCACGGAGAAAGACACGAGGCUCCUGCGCAGGGAAAGCCGAGGUUGCCACCGCAGGCCUGGCACGACCAGGGCCGUGAUGCCCCGCCCGGCCAGACCCCCGCCCCCCCGCCCCGCGCUCACAGGUACCUGGAGACGAUUUCAACUGAAGUAAUGAAGGCAGUGUCGUGCUGUCGAGAGAAAGGUGGAUCCCAACAACAGGAAACUACCUAAAUCACCGACCAGUUCUGGUGCUGCCCGCGAGCCGGGCUGCCUCGCUCGCCCGCCGCCGCCGCCGCCGCCGCCGCCGCUGCCACCACCGCCGCCAAGGAGAGAACCCUGCGAUCGCGCCGGCCCAGCCCAGCCCCUAGACAACCUGCGCCCGCCGCAGUGACAGAGUGCCCCAGGCGGCCGCAAAUGCGUCAUAGGGGAAGCCUCAGGCCCCAGUAAGCCAAUGUCAAGCCCGUUUGCCAACCUGCAUGUCCAUGCCUGUAAGCCCUUCUCUUGGCCAAGGAAGAAAGGAAGAAAGAAAAAAGAAACGCAGGGGCCUGUAUCCCCUGAUUAAGCACAGCGUAGCACUCCAGGCAGACGUGCCCGGUGGCGGCUCCUUGCACCAUUGACCUCAGGCCAGACACCUCAGCGCCAACAAUGGGACCUCGGCCUUCCGGCUAGGUUUGCCCCAGGCUGGGCAGGAAACCAGCUCGGCGGAGGACAGGGGCCAUUUCCAGCAGUGGGACCCCAAGACAGCAAACCAGCCCAGUCACGACUUGACACUUAGGACAAUAUCUCUAUAGAAUUUUAGCACGAUAUGGCUUUUUCCCCCAGAAAACAACAAAUAAACCAGCACCAAGCAAACACAAAGAAAAAAAAAAAGUCAGAACAAACCAGCCCUGCACAGAUGUAACGGCCCAGGAGAUGGCGAGAGUGGGAGGGAGGAACAGGGCUCCAACACAGGUGCGGGUUCCUGGGCAGAGGCUGAAGACAGAGGGAGGGGACCAGCGCUCGGAAAGUGGGAAAACCGCGUCGUCUGGAGCUUCAUCAGGAAAAAUUAAAGUUGGCUGUGAGCUCCCGGA